rnacentral:rRNA from 1 species
UACGUAGGGGGCAAGCGUUGUCCGGAUUUAUUGGGCGUAAAGAGCGUGUAGGCGGCCAAGCAGGUCCGCUGUGAAAACUCGAGGCUCAACCUCGAGACGUCGGCGGAAACCCUCUGGCUAGAGUCCGGAAGAGGAGAGUGGAAUUCCUGGUGUAGCGGUGAAAUGCGCAGAUAUCAGGAAGAACACCCGUGGCUAAGGCGGCUCUCUAGUACGGUACUGACGCUGAGACGCGAAAGCGUGGGGAGCGAACAGG